GGGCGCCAUUGUGGGGCUUUGAGAGUUCUGAAUUCCUAUGGGUUGGUGAAGAGUCCAUAUAUAAUUUUUUUGAGGUUAUCCUCAUUGAUCCAUUCCAUAAAGCUAUCAGAAGAAAUCCUGACUCCAAGUGGAUCACCAAACCGUCCACAACCACAGAGAUCUGCUGGACAAAAGAGCCGUGGCCUUGUGGUUCCUGCUGUGCAGCCUGGAGAAGGCACAAUACUCUCCAGCUCCACCAUUAC
rnacentral:lncRNA from 1 species